GGUCCAGACUCCUACGGGAGGCAGCAGUAGGGAAUCUUCCGCAAUGGGCGAAAGCCUGACGGAGCAACGCCGCGUGAGUGAUGAAGGUCUUCGGAUCGUAAAACUCUGUUAUUAGGGAAGAACAUAUGUGUAAGUAAUUGUUCACAUCUUGACGGUACCUAAUCAGACAGCUACGGCUAACUACGUGUUGGCAGCUGCGUGACUACGUAGGUGGCUAGCGUUAUCCGGGAUUAUUGGGCGUGAAGCGCGUGUAGGCGGUUUUUUCAGUCUGAUGUGAAAGCACGCGGCUCAAGCGUGGAGGGUCAUUGGAAACUAGAAACCAUGAGAGCAGAAGAGGAAAGUGGAAGUCCAUGUGUAGCGGCGACCUGCGCAGAGAUAUGGAGAAACAACAGUGGCGAAGGCGCCUUUCUGGUCUGUAACUGA
rnacentral:rRNA from 1 species